rnacentral:rRNA from 1 species
AUUGAACGCUGGCGGCAUGCCUUACACAUGCAAGUCGAACGGCAGCGGACCUUCGGGUGCCGGCGAGUGGCGAACGGGUGAGUAAUAUAUCGGAACGUACCUUUCAGUGGGGGAUAACGUAGCGAAAGUUACGCUAAUACCGCAUAUUCUGUGAGCAGGAAAGCAGGGGAUCGCAAGACCUUGCGCUGAUUGAGCGGCCGAUAUCAGAUUAGCUAGUUGGUGAGGUAAAGGCUCACCAAGGCGACGAUCUGUAGCGGGUCUGAGAGGAUGAUCCGCCACACUGGAACUGAGACACGGUCCAGACUCCUACGGGAGGCAGCAGUGGGGAUUUUGGACAAUGGGCGCAAGCCUGAUCCAGCCAUGCCGCGUGAGUGAAGAAGGCCU